GGCUUGACGGGAAAAUUCAAAAUCGCGAACCGUUACAGCCUGGACGGUGUCUUUGUUUGUUUGCUUAUCAACAGUAAGAGGUCAUGUGCACUGUGGUCAACUUUGUGGACGCUGAAGAGGUUUCUGGGCAAAGAUGAUAAAAAUAUAAUUAAGUAACAGUGGAAGCUAAAACAUCAGACUGAUCCAGACACUGAAGAAAUUGAUGUCACUGCAAUCUGGCCAAAAUGAUACAACUAUGUUGAAGUAGCCUACUGUAAUGAAGCUGCAGAACGUCACAGAGACUCUGAGGACAUCAACACAGAAAAUCUAGGCUCCAAAGAGAUGUCUGUCCAGAUGAGGGUGCAUCAACGUUACCUUUGCUGACAAGUAUAUGCUUUUAGCAGUUAACUUAACUCAAACCAUUUAAGGAAAUCGGUUGCCUUAAACCAUUAAGUUUUUAAAAACAUACAUUUGAGUACUGUGAACUUAAGUCUUGUGCAAUUAUGCACUUAUAUUUAGGUAGCGUGAACUUAAACAAAUUGAGUCACAUGCAGUUAAGCACUUAUAUUUAAGUUCACAGUACUCAAAUCUAUGUGUUUUAAAACUUGAAUGGUUUAAUGCAACCGGUUUUCUUAAAUGUGAGAAAUUACAGUGUUACA